UUCAACAUCCUAUCCCUGUUAAGUCUUCACGAAUCUGGUGCGAGGCUUGUGCAAAAAUAUGGCAAUCCUGAAAUUCCCGUCAAUGAUAAAGACAGGAACCAUAUCAUCAAAAUUGUUUCAAUGGGUCAUGUUGUGAAAGCAAUAGGCAACUACUAUCCAAAAUCCAGCACAAAGGAGAAGUUGGCCAAAGCGAUCGUUAAGGCAUUUCCUCAAAUGGGACUUACUCGGGCUUGACUACCAUCACAUGCUUAUAUUUACAACAGUGCGACCACAAACGCUUUUCUUGACCAACACUUGAAGCGGAUGAGAAAUGCAGCUUUAUCAGACAGUGAACGGAAAAGAAAAAGAAGUUAGGGAAAAGAUACAAUCGUGAAGGGUUAACGGAAAACACUGCAGAAGAAAUAAGUGGUAGAAGCUGCAAUUUCUUUAGAUGAAGGUUAUGUUACUAAAUCGAAAGACGAGGUUGCUUGGUUGCAAAUUUGUAAAGUUUUCGCUGAGAACAAGAAAUAAAUUAUUGAUCUCGUGAACAGUACAUUUCAACUCUGAAAGUUCGAAGUAAUCAACGCACUCAGGACGCCGACAGCCAUUUUUCUUCAAUAUCCCAGAUUAAAGAAUUUCUAUCACGGAGCUUUGGUUGAACGACUUGCUCACUAUGAGAAUUUAGAAAUUCCAGAAACAGCGGACGACAAAAUCAAGUUAACAAAUGUAAAAUUAUCACUUGGACACCGCCACUUAUUUCUUCUUUUUAAA